AGGACGAACGCUGGCGGCGUGCUUAACACAUGCAAGUCGAGCGGAAAGGCCCUUCGGGGUACUCGAGCGGCGAACGGGUGAGUAACACGUGAGCAACCUGCCCUUAGCUUCGGGAUAGCUCCGGGAAACCGGAAUUAAUACCGGAUAUGACUAUGGCCGACAUCAGCCAUGGUGGAAAGUUUUUCGGCUAGGGAUGGACUCGCGGCCUAUCAGCUAGUUGGUGAGGUAACGGCUCACCAAGGCGACGACGGGUAGCCGGCCUGAGAGGGCGACCGGCCACACUGGGACUGAGACACGGCCCAGACUCCUACGGGAGGCAGCAGUGGGGAAUAUUGCGCAAUGGGCGAAAGCCUGACGCAGCGACGCCGCGUGGGGGAUGAAUGCCUUCGGGUUGUAAACCCCUUUCAGCAGGGACGAAGCGAAAGUGACGGUACCUGCAGAAGAAGCGCCGGCUAACUACGCGCCAGCAGCCGC
rnacentral:rRNA from 1 species